rnacentral:rRNA from 1 species
UACGUAGGGUGCGAGCGUUAAUCGGAAUUACUGGGCGUAAAGCGUGCGCAGGCGGCUUCGCAAGUCAGACGUGAAAUCCCCGGGCUUAACCUGGGAAUGGCGUUUGAAACUACGGAGCUGGAGUGUGGCAGAGGGAGGUAGAAUUCCACGUGUAGCGGUGAAAUGCGUAGAUAUGUGGAGGAAUACCGAUGGCGAAGGCAGCCUCCUGGGCCAAUACUGACGCUCAUGCACGAAAGCGUGGGGAGCAAACAGG